rnacentral:rRNA from 1 species
CACGUAGGCACCAAGCGUUGUCCGGAUUUAUUGGGCGUAAAGAGCUCGUAGGCGGUUCGAUAAGUCGGGUGUGAAAACUUUGGGCUUAACCCAAAGCGUGCAUUCGAUACUGUUGUGACUAGAGUUCGGUAGGGGAGUGGGGAAUUCCUAGUGUAGCGGUGAAAUGCGCAGAUAUUAGGAGGAACACCGGUGGCGAAGGCGCCACUCUGGGCCGAAACUGACGCUGAGGAGCGAAAGCGUGGGUAGCAAACAGG